UGGAUAAUACACUUAUACCCUUAAUGAUUUAUCUGAUUUAAUUAAAAACAAAAACAAAAUUGAAAUCGAGUUGAGGGAGAGAAAUCUCAAACUCGAUCCAAUCUCAACAUUUUCCAUCUCUGUCAUCUCUCCCCUGACACGCUGAAGAUUCCCCGGAGCUGCUGAGAGCUCGAUUAUUUGGCCGUCAUCUGUUACUUGUUAGAUUUGCUUCUCCUUGUUCACUUUCUUGAUUUUGUAUCUAAGAAUUCGUCUCUCUGCCUCCUCCGAUCUCUCUCCCUCUCGCCGUGGAUUGAGAUGGAGAGCUUACCAACGACGGUCUCUGCUAAAUCAGACCGGCGAGGUAGGCCUUCUAAGUCUCAGAACACCUCCAAGCCCUCUCUUAUCUUAGCCUUCUUCUCCUGUCUAGCUUGGCUCUGGCCGGUUGUGGCAAGAUGCACAGUACAGAGCAGCACUCAAUACUGUGCUUAAGAAGAAUUAUGAUCAGAGGCCUAAGGUUCUUACGGUGGAGGACAAGCUGCUAGCCCUUGGAUGCAAAGAUCUUGAGAGGAGAAUUGUUGAAACUGGAAUGGAGUUGGCACAUGCAAAGAGUCAAGUAACGUUGAAUUGAAUGUUUGUAAAGCCGGUGGAUGGUUGGCGUCUCUUUGUGUAGCAGGGUUCAUAGCUAUUGCAGUGAGAAAAAUGGUGAAAACCAAGUAACGUUGGUUAGAUAGAGACUAGAUUUGGUUAUUAUAUUAUUGCUAACGACGUUGUACUUUGGGUAUUUUAAUUUCAAAGUAAAUAUAUGAUAUUGUGGAAGGUAAAUUAUUAUUACAACUUGGUUCGACUAGGUACAACUAAGAACAUAUUUGUAUACGUAUGUGUACUAUAAACAAAUAAUUUUAAAUAAUUAAAACUCGAAUUUAUCA